AUUGAAACAGCAAUGAGACACAGUCAGAUAGUGUCACAUACCUACUCGUCCUGGCCGAAGUCCAGGCACCGAUGGCGCCAACACUCAAGGGGCUGUGGGUCAACAGGAGUCUCAUUCGUUGCGGGGUUAGGCGGUGGGGAGGGGAGGCAGACUGACUGCAGGGGUCUCCGGCAAUGGGCGCCCAUCGUGGGGGCUCGAACCUGCUCAGUGAAGCUACACAGAAUAAAGAGGAAAAAAGAAAAAGCAAAGAAUCGACGACACAGUGCACCUCGCAUUAAGGUGCAGGAGAAGCACAAAAUUCCCCCUCCCCAAAAGAGGCCCGGCACGGAGUAAAGAGAGUCAGCUGGGACUAAAACCCGGGGUAAGUGCUUUCAGCCCAGCCUGCAGGGUAGAAACAAACUCUGCAAAAGAUAGUUAAAUAGGAUCGCCAUUUUUCACAAACAAGAACUUUUGAUAUGCAACUUAAGGAGCCUGUGAAACAAAGAAGCUGAACAAAGUCAGUUUUGCGGCAUUGGGAACAAGGGAGCCUGGUAGCUGCUCAAGCUUCUGUUCCUCCGCAAUCAGCCGCCAGUGAGAACGCUUCAGUUGUGGUCUUAGAACAACUGCUUGCCAGAUCUGCUGUCCUUCACAUAGCGGACUUGCCUCUCUCGGAAAAUGGUUCUGCCGCCCUGUCUUGCAAAGGGCAAGGUCCGAAUUCAAUCCCUGGUACCCCCCCAAAAAAGAAAAAAAAAAAGUGUGACAUCGUUACAGGCAAAUCCCGUGGCUUCCCCUCCGGAGGAGGUCCAGCUGUCUCGCUCCGCUUGGGCUGCUAAGAUCACAGGUGCGAGGAGGUGGGAGGAAAAGUAUGAGAAGUGCUUGGCUUUAGUGCAACGUUUAGAGACCAGAACUAGCAAGGUAACUGGGAUAAGAAGACAGCCAGUAUUUUGGCCCUGGCCCUUCAAGGUCUGCAAACAACCUGGGACAUGAAAAACAAAACUGCCUGAAGAUCCUACAGCUUUGCUCAAAGCAGUUGGAUUGAAACUCCGCCCUUUCUCCCCUGGCUGCAGCAGGAGAUGCUCUUCAUAAAGGAGAUUGUUAUACACAGCGGGGUCAGUUGGAUACCGUAAAAUGAUAAGAUGCUGUGGCCAUCAUCCCAAAAUGCACCGCCAUGGACCAAGAUGGAUUUGCUGCAAGCAUCAGGACAUGACACCCUGCUGAGAGCCACACAAAGGCUGCAUCAGAGCAACUCCCUCACUGGCUACAGCCCUGGGACCUGCAAGGAUCAGCAGACCUGAUGCAGCUCCCUUUCCAAACAGAGAAGGGGGCGAUGCAGAGGCUGUAAUAUCGAUGAUG